rnacentral:rRNA from 1 species
CCUACGGGAGGCUGCAGUCAAGAAUCUUCCCCAAUGGGCGAAAGCCUGAGGGAGCGACGCCGCGUGACCGAUGAAGCCCUUCGGGGUGUAAAGGUCUUUUAUAUGGGAAAAAUCUGAUGGUACCAUAUGAAUAAGCCACGGCUAACUCUGUGCCAGCAGCCGCGGUAAGACAGAGGUGGCAAGCGUUAUCCGGAAUCACUGGGCGUAAAGAGUUCGUAGGUGGUUUUUUAAGUCAGGUGUUAAAUCUUCGAGCUCAACUCGAAGGCCGCAUCUGAAACUAAAAAACUUGAGAAAGAGAGAGGUGGAUGGAAUUCCCGGGGUAGCAGUGAAAUGCGUUGAUAUCGGGAGGAACACCAGUGGCGAAGGCGGCUCUCUGGGGUCAACCUGACGCUGAGGGGCGAAAGCGGGGGGAGCGAACCGGAUUAGAUACC